rnacentral:rRNA from 1 species
GCACGCUGACACGUAGGUGAAGUGAUUUACUCAUGGAGCUGAAGUCAGUCGAAGAUACCAGCUGGCUGCAACUGUUUAUUAAAAACACAGCACUGUGCAAACACGAAAGUGGACGUAUACGGUGUGACGCCUGCCCGGUGCCGGAAGGUUAAUUGAUGGGGUCAGCGCAAGCGAAGCUCCUGAUCGAAGCCCCGGUAAACGGCGGCCGUAACUAUAACGGUCCUAAGGUAGCGAAAUUCCUUGUCGGGUAAGUUCCGACCUGCACGAAUGGCGUAAUGAUGGCCAGGCUGUCUCCACCCGAGACUCAGUGAAAUUGAACUCGCUGUGAAGAUGCAGUGUACCCGCGGCAAGACGGAAAGACCCCGUGAACCUUUACUAUAGCUUGACACUGAACAUUGAGCCUUGAUGUGUAGGAUAGGUGGGAGGCUUUGAAGUGUGGACGCCAGUCUGCAUGGAGCCGACCUUGAAAUACCACCCUUUAAUGUUUGAUGUUCUAACGUGGACCCGUAAUCCGGGUUGCGGACAGUGUCUGGUGGGUAGUUUGACUGGGGCGGUCUCCUCCUAAAGAGUAACGGAGGAGCACGAAGGUUGGCUAAUCCUGGUCGGACAUCAGGAGGUUAGUGCAAUGGCAUAAGCCAGCUUGACUGCGAGCGUGACGGCGCGAGCAGGUGCGAAAGCAGGUCAUAGUGAUCCGGUGGUUCUGAAUGGAAGGGCCAUCGCUCAACGGAUAAAAGGUACUCCGGGGAUAACAGGCUGAUACCGCCCAAGAGUUCAUAUCGACGGCGGUGUUUGGCACCUCGAUGUCGGCUCAUCACAUCCUGGGGCUGAAGUAGGUCCCAAGGGUAUGGCUGUUCGCCAUUUAAAGUGGUACGCGAGCUGGGUUUAGAACGUCGUGAGACAGUUCGGUCCCUAUCUGCCGUGGGCGCUGGAGAACUGAGGGGGGCUGCUCCUAGUACGAGAGGACCGGAGUGGACGCAUCACUGGUGUUCGGGUUGUCAUGCCAAUGGCACUGCCCGGUAGCUAAAUGCGGAAGAGAUAAGUGCUGAAAGCAUCUAAGCACGAAACUUGCCCCGAGAUGAGUUCUCCCUGAGACUUAGAGUCUCCUGAAGGAACGUUGAAGACGACGACGUUGAUAGGCCGGGUGUGUAAGCGCAGCGAUGCGUUGAGCUAACCGGUACUAAUGAACCGUGAGGCUUAACCUU